GAUGAACGCUAGCGGCAGGCCUAAUACAUGCAAGUCGAACGGUGUAGCAAUACACAGUGGCGCACGGGUGCGUAACACGUAUGCAACCUACCUAUUAUUGGGGGAUAGCCUUUGGAAACGGAGAUUAAUACCGCAUAAGACAGUGACAUGGCAUCAUGUAGCUGUUAAAGCUUUGGCGAUAAUAGCUGGGCAUGAGUCCAAUUAGUUAGUUUGUGAGGUAAUGGAUAAACAAGAUGAUGAUUGGUAGGGGAUCUGAGAGGAUAAUCCACAACACUGGCACUGAGAUACGGGCCAGACUCCUGCGGGAGGCAGCAGUAGGGAAUAUUGGGAAAUGGACGGAAGUCUGACCCAGCCAUGCCGCGUGCAGGAUGACGGCGUUAUGCGUUGUAAACUGCUUUUUUAUAGGAAGAAGAAGCCCUUGCGAGGGAAAGUGACGGUACUAUAAGAAUAAGCACCGGCUAACUCCGUGCCAGCCGCCGCAGUAACAC
rnacentral:rRNA from 1 species